CAAAAAAUAUGACCAGAAAAACCUUAAAUGAUCGUCGAUUUAUCCAAAAGUUUUGAAGUUACACAUAGGAAGUAGUGCUUAUUAAGAAUUCUUGUGUAGUUCAUUCUGACUUGUGCUUUUGGCCAAGAUGUCAAAGAACAAUUGUAUGAAAUAUUUAAUCGCCGAAAAUCUCUUAAGACAAGUAGUUUAGAUUUCCCAAAUGGCAAAAGUCGUAGGAAUAUUGUUUGUCAUCAAUACGUAGUACAACUACGUCAGUAGUCUAUUAUAUAAUAAGUUCAACUGUUCAUGCUGUUGGCGGCAAUUUCAAAUUAGAAAAAGAAAUUUUUGUAUCUUUUCAAUUUGGAGGCAGGUGUGCAAAUUAGCAGUGGUCCGAGGUCCGCGACCUUCCACUUUUGCAAGCGAAAUUUC
rnacentral:lncRNA from 1 species